GUUAAGAUGGGUUCAGUAUAUGAGAAGAGAUGACUUGAGGAGCUAAGGGAAAUGGAGUUAGGAGAGGAUUGGGCAAGGCCGUACAGAAGCCGUACUAGGCCGUACAGAUUGGGCAAGGUAACUUGACCUCCGUGAACCAAAGUUACUUAGGUAACUUUGUGUGUUGAGAAGAAGCCUUGCAUAACCUUAUCUGAUCAGACUGUUGCAAAAGGAAGAAGGGAGCGCACAUGACAGCCUGUCCGCGGUUGGCAUAAAGCAAAAGGAACCUUAUCCUUAAGGAGGAAGCUUAUUGGAUCAUUUGAAUUAAAGCAAAAGCUUAUCCCUUGUAAUAGUGUAGUUU
rnacentral:lncRNA from 1 species